rnacentral:misc_RNA from 1 species
GAUGAAGAACGUAGCGAAAUGCGAUACGUAAUGUGAAUUGCAGAUUUCAGUGAAUCAUCGAAUCUUUGAACGCACAUUGCGCCCGCCAGUAUUCUGGCGGGCAUGCCUGUUCGAGCGUCAUUUCAACCAUCAAGCCUUCGCUUGUGUUGGGGCCCCGCGGCUGCCGCGGUCCCCUAAAUCCAGUGGCGGGCUCGUCGUCGUACCGAGCGCAGUAGACAUCCUCGCUCCGGGAACCCGACGGGUGCCGGCCGUGAAACCCCCCACAUCAAGGUUGACCUCGGAUCAGGUAGGAAUACCCGCUGAACUUAAGCAUAUCAAUAAGCGAGGA